ACCCCAAUAAAAGAUCUAGCACAUUAAUUCAGCUUCAAAAAUAUGACUGCCAUAUGUUGAUCCCCUCCCCCCACUGUUUUGCUGACAAGUUGAAGUUCGUGCUUUUCCACUGUUAUUGAAUUUCUGAUUCGUUGAGGCCGCAGGAAAUACAGUCUUCUCUGCAGUGCGAUUGGGUGAGGGUUACGUCAAUCACCUAAUGAUGUAUUUGGGGGCGGGGCUUUCGCGUGUGGUUUCAUUUUGCACCGCCGAACGUGCUGGAAAUGUGGCGCGUCUCCCUGGCCGUUUGGGGACGCGCGCUUUAAAGUAAUGACGCUUCUACACGCAGUUGCAUUAUUUAGAGUCAACAUGAAUCUGUGGGAAAAUGUCGAAAUAAUCAUAAACUGAUUAAAUAGAAUAGAGUAAAGUUAUAUGGGAUGCAUUUUGUAACGAUCUUGUAUUGUUACGCAAUGCAUUGACAUGACAAUAAAUCAAAUGCAUGUGUAGGUGUGUGCAUUAAUUCAUUUUGUCUUGUCGGUCAACUAUUAAGUAGCUAAGGAUUUUUCUACAAGUGUUACUAUAGCUCGAUUAGUACAUUGAUCCACAAAGAACAAACAUAUUGAUAAAGUGUAUACAUUAAAUGCACUGUGAUUCACUUUAGAUAAAAGGGUCAUCCCAAAAGCAUAUGUGAUUGCAAGUGAAGUCAGCAGGCGACAGCUGUAGUUUUAAAAUGAAACCACACGAGGGAGUCAGUGGAUAAGAAUUCAAUGACGUUUGAGCGCUGCACUACCUACAAACUCAGCGAUGUCAACUCUGUGAGUGUAACCUUAUCGCCCAUCGGCUUUCUCUGACACCUGGCUGAUGCUAUCAGGUUGUUGUUUUUACUAUUCUGACCAACAUGCUUUCCAAAAGUGAGAAUAAGUCAAAUAUAUUAAAUCGUGUUGGGCUAUACAGCGCAAACUAAAGGUUGUAUUUGAAUAGCCCUUGGACAGAAAGGAUGUGUGCAAGGUUCCUGAAUGUAAAUUCAUCCAAAUAAAGCCACCAAAUAACCUGAAUGGUUAGUGCCUCCACUUCAGAUUCAAUGGUCAGGAAAGGCCAGACCAGUGUUCAUUUGAAAUGGAAAAUGACAGUGGACAGUGGUUUCAAAUUCAAUUUGCCUUAAAACCAUUACCCCCCUCAGGCUUCCCACCAUGAAAUUUGCUCACUGUCCUAAUUAGGGCAUGCAUAGUCACCUAACCUGUACCCAUCCUAUUGUACGAGUCGAACGAUUUGUCACUAUGCAUAUUUGAAUUAGUCAAAUAGGCUAAAUGACUCUUGGCAACUAAAAACCUGCAACGAGAAACUAAAUACCAGCAUCUGUGCCGACAAGAAAAAUCCAUCAUCUCAAACAUACCUUGAGACUACAAGCUGAAAACACUUUACGAAACGUAUCACAGUCGUAUUGUGUGUGUGUGUGUGUGUUUUUUUUUUAUAUUACUGUGCAUUAAAUUCUGUGCCAAUUUUUAAA